AGUUCCUCUAGUUGGUGUCUGACAGCCACUAGUGGCAGUCCUAAUCCUGAAAUUUAAUUAUCGCAGUUUCUUAGAGACUGCAGUAAUUAACAUUGCAUGGUUAAGGGGACAAGGUUACUACACCCAGACCUAUUCAACUAGCUAAAGUGGUCUGGGUGCCUGUAGUGUAUCUUUAAGAGUGCCAUAGAGCUAUUCCACAGUGAGAUGUCCAGUCUUUUCCAGUAGGAGAACCUAGAGGUCUCUGUAGAGUAAAGCACAGCCAACGCAGGCAUGUUCUCAGCUGACACCCCUUAGCCAAUGGGCACGGAACUGUGUGCCAGUCACCUAAGGAUUUGGUCCCCCUAAACUUUCCAAGGAACCAUUGGACUUUUCUUUGCCUUGGAUUAUAUUGUGAUUUGUCUCAUUCAAAUCUUGCCACGUACGUACAAACUGGUUCACCGACCCAGUGAUUGCUUCAAAAUGCUUUCACAUCCUGAAAACAGACAGAACAGGGGAACGGACGAAAACCGCUGAAUACAAC